rnacentral:rRNA from 1 species
GACGAACGCUGGCGGCGUGCUUAACACAUGCAAGUCGAACGGAAAGGCCCUGCUUGCAGGGUGCUCGAGUGGCGAACGGGCGAGUAACACGUGGGUGAUCUGCCCCUUACUUUGGGAUAAGCCUGGGAAACUGGGUCUAAUACUGGAUAGGACCAUGCUGUAGGUGGUGUGGUGGAAAGAUUAGUUUCGGUAAGGGAUGAGCUCGCGGCCUAUCAGCUUGUUGGUGGGGUAAUGGCCUACCAAGGCGUCGACGGGUAGCCGGCCUGAGAGGGUGGACGGCCACAUUGGGACUGAGAGACGGCCCAGACUCCUACGGGAGGCAGCAGUGGGGAAUAUUGCACAAUGGGCGCAAGCCUGAUGCAGCGACGCCGCGUGGGGGAUGACGGCCUUCGGGUUGUAAACUCCUUUCAGCCAUGACGAAGCCCUUGUGGUGACGGUAGUGGUAGAAGAAGCACCGGCUAACUACGUG